UACAGAGGCCUCAAGCGUUAGGCGGAAUCACUGGGCUUAAAGCGUGUGUAGGCGGAUCGUUAAGUGUCUUGUGAAAUCCCACGGCUCACCCGUGGAACGGCUGGGCAUACUGGCGAUCUUGGGCCAACUAGGGGCAACUGGAACAAGCGGUGGAGCGGUGAAAUGCGUAGAUAUCGCUUGGAACGCCAAAGGUGAAAACAGGUUGCUGGGGUUGUGCCGACGCUGAGACACGAAAGCCAGGGGAGCAAAACGGGG
rnacentral:rRNA from 1 species